rnacentral:lncRNA from 10 species
AGGUAUAGAAGGGGUUUUUCUCUCUUACGCGCCUUCCUUAUCCACAUGUUUGGAGAAGUCACUCAGUGUACUAGUACAUGGCCAUAUGUGACAAAGAGGGUAUGUAAGUAUCACACAAGUUUCAGAACCAUCUCCCUCUUUCACACCUUAUGUGGUGGAAGGAUUCCUUGUUGCUUCCAGAUUUUGCAGUCAGUAGGGGCAACAAGUGGAAAUGUAUAAAAACCUGAGGAGGAGGUAGAUCACUUUGUAGAGGAUGGCCUUAGUCCUACCUCUGGAUGAUAUGGGAGACCACUCCCCUCUAAGGAAAGGCUGAGUUGAAUGUACAAGACUCCAGCCUCCAGGCACAAUUGUCAAGUAUUUGAGGGUUGUCUUUGGUCCUCCAACAAACCAGGAGAAUGUAGCCUCUUAAAAACAUGACUUAGAGAGGUAAAAUAACCUGCCCAGUGUCACAGAGAUAUGAGUCAGUGGCUGAACAGAAACCAGAUCGUGGGAUCCCAAAGCAUGUGUAUGUAGCAGGCACAUCUUUCAUUUCUAUGUGACAGUGCCCCAGAUUCCAAAACAG